rnacentral:rRNA from 1 species
CCGUCGGAGCGUCGCAUGGCGCGCUGACGAAAGGGGUUACUGGAUCAGGAGGGGUCUCGCGGCCUAUCAGCUAGAUGGUGGGGUAACGGCCUACCAUGGCAUCGACGGGUAGCUGGUCUGAGAGGAUGAUCAGCCACACUGGGACUGAGACACGGCCCAGACUCCUACGGGAGGCAGCAGUGGGGAAUCUUGCGCAAAUGGGCGAAAAGCCUGACGCAGCAACGCCGCGUGCGGGAAGAAGGCCUUCGGGUUGUAAACCGCUUUCAGAAGGAACGAAAAUGACGGUACUUUCAGAAGAAGGUGCGGCCAACUACGUGCCAGCAGCCGCGGUGACACGUAGGCACCAAGCGUUGUCCGGAUUUAUUGGGCGUAAAGAGCUCGUAGGCGGUUCGGUAAGUCGGGUGUGAAAAUCUUUGGGCUUAACCCAAAGCGUGCACUCGAUACUGCCAUGACUAGAGUUCGGUAGGGGAGCGGGGAAUUCCUAGUGUAGCGGUGAAAUGCGCAGAUAUUAGGAGGAACACCGGUGGC